rnacentral:rRNA from 1 species
UACGUAGGCAGCAAGCGUUGUUCGGAGUUACUGGGCGUAAAGAGUAUGUAGGCGGCGUCCUAAGUUUGGUGUGAAAUCUCCCGGCUUAACCGGGAGGGUGCGCCGAAAACUGGGGCGCUGGAGUGCGGGAGAGGAAAGCGGAAUUCCUGGUGUAGCGGUGAAAUGCGUAGAUAUCAGGAGGAACACCGGUGGUGUAGACGGCUUUCUGGACCGUGACUGACGCUGAGAUACGAAAGCGUGGGGAGCAAACAGG